rnacentral:tRNA from 1 species
GGCUAGCUCAGUCGGUAGAGCAUGGGACACUUAAUCUCAGGGUCGUGGGUUCCAGCCCCACGCGCCA